GCCGGGCGCGGUGGCACGCGCCUGUAAUCCCAGCUACUCGGGAGGCUGAGGCUGGAGGAUCGCUUGAGCUCAGGAGUUCUGGGCUGCAGUGCGCUAUGCCGAUCGGGUGUCCGCACUAAGUUCAGCAUCAAUAUGGUGACCUCCCGGGAGCAGGGGGCCACCAGGUUGCCUAAGGAGGGUGAACCGCCCAGGUCGGAAACGGAGCAGGUCAAAACUCCUGUGCUGAUCAGUAGUGGGAUCGCGCCUGUGAAUAGCCACUGUACUCCAGCCUGGGCAAUAUAGCGAGACCCUGUCUCUU
rnacentral:SRP_RNA from 1 species